rnacentral:tRNA from 1 species
AGUCCCCUAGUGUAGUGGCCAAUCAUGUCGGGUUCUGGCCCCGGCGACCGCGGUUCGAAUCCGCGGGGGACUA